rnacentral:lncRNA from 1 species
CAGCAUACUUUGUCUCCUUGCAGCUGCUGCUUCUGCUUUUGCAGAUGAUUUAUGAAUGUGUUGAACAGUUCUGAAAUUGCAAAAUCCUGUAUGACUUCAUUUGCUUUAUUAGCCCAUAUAUGUGUUGCACGGAGGUACAUGCUCCAGAAAGCCUUGAAAUACCAGGUUAUUAACUAUCCACACAAGGAAAAAAAGAUCUCUGUUAUGUGA